UGGCUACAACACAGGACACGGGA
rnacentral:miRNA from 1 species